rnacentral:rRNA from 1 species
AUACGUAGGGAGCAAGCGUUGUCCGGAAUUACUGGGCGUAAAGGGUGCGUAGGUGGCCAAGCAAGUCAGAUGUGAAAUCCCCGGGCUUAACUCGGGUGCUGCAUUUGAAACUGCGUGGCUUGAGUGCAGGAGAGGAAAGCGGAAUUCCUAGUGUAGCGGUGAAAUGCGUAGAUAUUAGGAGGAACACCAGUGGCGAAGGCGGCUUUCUGGACUGUAACUGACACUGAGGCACGAAAGCGUGGGGAGCAAACAGGAUUAGAUACCCUGGUAGUCCACGCUGUAAACGAUGGAUACUAGGUGUGGGGGAGAUACAACCUCCGUGCCGCAGCAAACGCAAUAAGUAUCCCGCCUGGGGAGUACGGCCGCAAGGCUGA